CGUAGGCGGCUAUUUAAGUCGGAUGUGAAAGCCCCGGGCUCAACCUGGGAAUUGCAUCCGAUACUGGGUAGCUAGAAUGCAGUAGAGGGAGGUGGAAUUUCCGGUGUAGCGGUGAAAUGCGUAGAGAUCGGAAGGAACACCAGUGGCGAAGGCGGCCUCCUGGACUGACAUUGACGCUGAGGUGCGAAAGCGUGGGGAUCAAACA
rnacentral:rRNA from 1 species